UCUUGGCAACCAAUGACAGUAUAGGUGAGGGUUACAGUAGCUUGUCUUGGCAACCAAUGUCAGUAUAGGUGAAGGUUACAGUAGCCUGUCUUGGCAACCAAUGCCAGUAUAGGUGAGGGUUACAGUAGCCUGUCUUGGCAACUAAUGUCAGUAUAGGUGAGGGUUACAGUAGCUUGUCUUGGCAACCAAUGUCAGUAUAGGUGAAGGUUACAGUAGCCUGUCUUGGCAACCAAUGCCAGUAUAGGUGAAUCGUACAGUAGCUUGUCUUGGCAACCAAUGUCAGUAUAGGUGAGUCUUACAGUAGCUUGUCUUGGGAACCAAUAUCAGUAUAGGUAAGGGUUACAGUAGCUUGUCUUGGCAUCCAAUGUCAGUAUAGGUGAGGGUUACAGUAGCUUGUCUUGCCAACCAAUGUCAGUAUAGGUGAAUCGUACAG